CACGUAGGGGGCGAGCGUUGUCCGGAUUUAUUGGGCGUAAAGAGCUCGUAGGCGGCUCGGUAAGUGAGGUGUGAAAACUCCAGGCUCAACCUGGAGACGCCACCUCAUACUGCUGUGGCUAGAGUCCGGUGAGGGGAGCAUUGGAUUCCUGGUGUAGCGGUGAAAUGCGCAGAUAUCAGGAGGAACACCAGUGGCGAAGGCGGUGCUCUGGGCCGGAACUGACGCUGAGGAGCGAAAGCGUGGGGAGCAAACAGG
rnacentral:rRNA from 1 species